CGGUGAUCUAUAAAAUCCCCACCAGAGACACACACAAAUUCCACCACUCAUCUCUCUUUCAUUUUCUUUUGGCAAAUUAGGGUUAGGGUUGCAGGAUCAGCUCGGAAGAUUUUCCUUGCUUUCCUGCAUCCUUAUCCCUUUUUCUCUCUCUAGCCUAUAAAGGUUCGCUUUAAGCAUAUCGGGUUUCUCAUUCAGCAGUUACAGGAGAAGAAUAUCUGUUGCAGAAGAAGAAUAUUUGGUAUUCUCUGGACGCGCUUUGGAUCCGGAUCUUCGAAGUUCGAGUAUCGUCUUAUUCUGUAGCCCUCGCCUUGAAGUUUCAAGUUUCGUCGUCUUCUGGUUAUCGAUUGCUUGCGCUCUCUGCUGUGGUAGGGGAUUCAGAUCGAUCACGCGGGAACCUUUUGCCGGAUUACUCGGAAAAUCUUCACAGGGUAGAUUUUACGGGGCAAUUACCGCCUGAAUUUGGGUUUUCCGGCAGCCAUUGAUAGAUAAGGGUUUUGAGAUUGUCUUUGAAGCCUCAAUUGCUGUAUUUUAUUGAAGAUCUAUGGAGAAAGAAACAGAAGCCAUGUCUCUGCAAAAAAAGGGCCUUUUGGCCUUUUUCUCU